CUGAACUGAAUAUCAGGCCUAGAGUGUCAUUUUCUUUUCUCUCUCUCUUUUUUCCCUACAUAAUGAAGGUAAAUUAAAACCCAAAUUAACAGUAAAAUGUCACAUUGCAUCUUAUAUAUUCAAAUUCUUUUCUACCCUCAAACUGAUUUAUGUAUAUUUAAUGGGUUUUGUUGAAAAGAAGAUGAUAGAACAAUUAAAGAUUUUUAAAAGAACAGAAGCUUUUCCCUAAAGGUAAAAGGAGAACAUAAGCAAUCUCUGUAUUUGCAUAAACCUUUUACAAAAUAGAUGAAAUGGAUGAUGUUCAAGGGAAGUCAUUAGCACUGGAAAUUUACAAAGAAGAGUAAAAGAAGAAAGAAAAGACAAUCUUUGGUGGUAAAUGUGUCAUUUAAAGUGAUUUAAAUGUUAUUACUAAAAAUUAUUUGAAAGUCAUUUUCUUACUAACAUUUUUUGAUUUAUAGAAUAUACAGAAGAAUUUCUCCAGGGCUUAAAACCUUGUGAUAGUUAUAAUUAGGUAACUGACUGGCAGGUGUCUGUUCUAUUGAAAAUGAGUUUCCUCCUCCUCUGUCCAUCUCAAAUUUAACACACAAUAUGUUGCCAAGUAGAAUUUAGACCUGAUUAGGAUUGACACUUCUUUUCAGAGAAAACUUCCAUAAGUGAAAUAAAAAUGUCAUGAGGGAAAUAAACCUGUAACAGAAAAGAACUGC
rnacentral:lncRNA from 1 species